GUGAGUGUAGCUGGAGAUGAUCAGAGGAUGAAGAGGAGGGAGAAGAGGGGACGGAGGAGGAAAAAGAGGAUGAGAAUGAGGAGGAGGAGGAAUGGGAGGAAGAAGAGGAGGAGGAAGAAGAGGAGGAGGAAGAAGAGGAUGAGGAAGAGUAGUAGUAGAAGGAAGUGUGGGAGGAGGAGGAAGAGCAGGAAGAGGAGGAUGAGGAGUAGGAGGAGGAGGAAGAGUGGGAGGAGCAGGAAGAGGAAGAGAAGGAGGAGGAGGAAGAGGAUGAGGAGGAAGAAGAGGAAGAACAGGAGGAUGAGGAGGAAGAGGAGGAGAAUAAAGAGGAGAAAAAGGAGGAAGAGAAGGAAGAAGAGGAGGAGGAGGAAGGCCAUACCUGACAGGAGCAGACCAGGGCUGGAUCAGAGCAAAUCUCCUCUUAAGGGAGAAGGAAAAAUAUAAACAGCAGCCGUUUCCUGUGACCCCUCGGGGACUGGGAUCCGUAGGAAGCACUGAGGGACGUAAAUAUUUCUAAGAAAGGAGUUUUGGAAGUUCACAAAACCUCCCUGCUGCCAAGUUUUGUCUGGAUACUCUUAAUUGAAAGGAAGAAGACCCACAGAUAACCCACGGUGACACCGGUUCUCACGUGCAGGAAUUUUCCUGAUCUGUGUAAAAGGAUGUUAAAUAUUUAAAUUUUAACUGGAGAGGGCUUUUGCUCUUCAUCUUUUCCUCAGGAAGAAUUCCUGAGUGGUUUCUGUAGCCAGAUAUCCCACUGUGUGUCCUGGCAUUGCCUUGCCUUGGGAAGGAUUUAAUUCCCACUGAUAUUGGGAAUGUCUAUAAUGUCUCUCCUACAAACCCAAAAAACACCGGGAAGGAAAUCUGCUUUCUAAGUCUCCCAAAUAUUCAGCCCAAAUAUACAUUAAAUAAACAUGAACCAAAUGA